GAUGAACGCUGGCGGCGUGCCUAAUACAUGCAAGUCGAGCGAACGGACGAGAAGCUUGCUUCUCUGAUGUUAGCGGCGGACGGGUGAGUAACACGUGGAUAACCUACCUAUAAGACUGGGAUAACUUCGGGAAACCGGAGCUAAUACCGGAUAAUAUUUUGAACCGCAUGGUUCAAAAGUGAAAGACGGUCUUGCUGUCACUUAUAGAUGGAUCCGCGCUGCAUUAGCUAGUUGGUAAGGUAACGGCUUACCAAGGCAACGAUGCAUAGCCGACCUGAGAGGGUGGUCGGCCACACUGGAACUGAGACACGGUCCAGACUCCUACGGGAGGCAGCAGUAGGGAAUCUUCCGCAAUGGGCGAAAGCCUGACGGAGCAACGCCGCGUGAGUGAUGAAGGUCUUCGGAUCGUAAAACUCUGUUAUUAGGGAAGAACAUAUGUGUAAGUAACUGUACACAUCUUGACGGUACCUAAUCAGAAAGCCACGGCUAACUACGUG
rnacentral:rRNA from 1 species